UAUUGCCCGUUAGAAAUAGAAAAGUCAACAGAAUUUUGACCUUGUUAUUUGUAACUAACAUAGGGUGUCCGUUACGAAUAAAGUAAGCCCUAAAUUUUCACUUUCCCCUUUCUCACUCCCUCUGUCAAAAAAAUUCCUCUUUCUCUCUCCAAUAUUGAAGCAGCUCCCGCGCGUUUUGCUCCUCUCAUUCUCACUCUUCUCCUCCAUUGAAGCGCACUUUGAUUUCUCCAUUAUUGAAGCGCACUCCGAGUUCUCCAUUAUUGAAGCGCACUCCGAGUUCUCCAUUGAAGCACACUCCGAGUUCUCCAUUAUUGAAGCGCACUCCGAGUUCUCCAUUGAAGCGCACUCUGAGUUCUCCAUUGAAGCGCACUCCGAGUUCUCCAUUGAAGCGCACUCCGAGUUCUCCAUUGAAUGAAGCGCACUCCGAGUUCUCCAUUAACGAAGCGCACUCCGAGUUCUCCAUUGAAGCGCUGUAUGAGUUCUCCAUUGAAGCGCUGUCUGAGUUCUCCAUUGAAGCGCUCAUAGUUCUCCAUUAAAGCGUUUCAUCAUAUCUGGUUACCGUAAUUCCCAGCAAUAAUAAGCAUCGCCAAUUGAUUAUGACAUAAGUUUUCAUUCGUGGUAUAAAUUUGACAUUUCUACAACACAAGGGCUCUUUUCAAUUGCUUGGUUUAGUUUGGUUAGAAAGGAAAAUCAGCAGGGAAGGAUUUCAAAAUUUUUAAUCAUAUUGAGAAAAAGGAGCAGCUCGGUCCUUAGCUCCCUCAACUCCAUUAAAGAAGCUCCGUCCUCAUUUCAAGAUGGUGUUUUGAUUCGGCUUAAAUCUGACAAUUUGGAUUUUAGUCCAAGGACCGCCCCGUAUGAUGUUGACGAGUUGAAUUUGGUUCGAGAACAAUGGGCGCAAUACUUUAGAAGUAAAUAUUUAUUGAAUGCUUAACUAUUAGUUUAGGUAGAACAACGUAAUAUUUUUAGUGUUGAAUUUAUAUGUUGGAUAAAUUUAUACAAGUUUUUAUUUGUAUUGUGUUACUACUUCAGUUUUUAUAUUACGUCGUAUUAAUUUUUACGAAAGAUUGUUCGGUAUAAUUGCU